UACGUAGGGUGCAAGCGUUGUCCGGAAUUAUUGGGCGAAAGAGCUCGUAGGCGGUCUGCUACGUCCGCUGUGAAAACCUAGGGCUUAACCCUGGGCUUGCAGUAGAUACGGGCAGACUAGAGGUAGGUAGGGGAGAAUGGAAUUCCCGGUGUAGCGGUGAAAUGCGCAGAUAUCGGGAGGAACACCGGUGGCGAAGGCGGUUCUCUGGGCCUUACCUGACGCUGAGGAGCGAAAGCGUGGGGAGCAAACAGG
rnacentral:rRNA from 1 species